rnacentral:rRNA from 1 species
CCUACGGGAGGCAGCAGUGGGGAAUAUUGCACAAUGGGCGCAAGCCUGAUGCAGCCAUGCCGCGUGUGUGAAGAAGGCCUUCGGGUUGUAAAGCACUUUCAGCGGGGAGGAAGGCGUUAAGGUUAAUAACCUUGUCGAUUGACGUUACCCGCAGAAGAAGCACCGGCUAACUCCGUGCCAGCAGCCGCGGUAAUACGGUGGGUGCAAGCGUUAAUCGGAAUUACUGGGCGUAAAGCGCACGCAGGCGGUCUGUCAAGUCGGAUGUGAAAUCCCCGGGCUCAACCUGGGAACUGCAUUCGAAACUGGCAGGCUAGAGUCUUGUAGAGGGGGGUAGAAUUCCAGGUGUAGCGGUGAAAUGCGUAGAGAUCUGGAGGAAUACCGGUGGCGAAGGCGGCCCCCUGGACAAAGACUGACGCUCAGGUGCGAAAGCGUGGGGAGCAAACAGGAUUAGAUACCCUAGUAGUC